GGCCCGUUGGUCAAGCGGUUAAGACAGCGGCCCUCACGCCGUUAACGUGGGUUCGAUUCCCGCACGGGUCA
rnacentral:tRNA from 1 species